CUGGGAGGACCAUCUCCUAAGGCUAAAUACUCUCUAGUGACCGAUAGUGAACCAGUACCGUGAGGGAAAGGUGAAAAGCACCCCGGAAGGGGAGUGAAAUAGAACCUGAAACCGUGUGCUUACAAGUAGUCAGAGCCCGUUAAUGGGUGAUGGCGUGCCUUUUGUAGAAUGAACCGGCGAGUUACGAUUUGAUGCAAGGUUAAGCAGUAAAUGUGGAGCCGUAGCGAAAGCGAGUCUGAAUAGGGCGUUUAGUAUUUGGUCGUAGACCCGAAACCAGGUGAUCUACCCUUGGUCAGGUUGAAGUUCAGGUAACACUGAAUGGAGGACCGAACCGACUUACGUUGAAAAGUGAGCGGAUGAACUGAGGGUAGCGGAGAAAUUCCAAUCGAACCUGGAGAUAGCUGGUUCUCUCCGAAAUAGCUUUAGGGCUAGCCUCAAGUGAUGAUUAUUGGA
rnacentral:rRNA from 1 species